ACGGAGGUUGCAAGCGUUGUUCGGAAUAACUGGGCGUAAAGGGAGCGCAGGCGGCAAGGUCAGUCUAAAGUGAAAGCCCGGGGCUUAACCUCGGAAGUGCUUUAGAUACUGCCUUGCUCGAGUUCGUGAGAGGAAAGCGGAAUUCCAGGUGUAGCGGUGAAAUGCGUAGAUAUCUGGAGGAACACCGGUGGCGAAAGCGGCUUUCUGGCGCGAUACUGACGCUGAGGCUCGAAAGCAUGGGGAGCGAACGG
rnacentral:rRNA from 1 species